GAUGAACGCUGGCGGUCUGCUUUAACACCAUGCAAGUCGAACGAACUCUUCGGAGUGAGUGGCGGACGGGUGAGUAACGCGUGAGAAUCUGGCUGUGGGUCGGGGACAACCACUGGAACGGUGGCGUAAUACCGGAUGAGCCGAAAGGUAAAGAUUUAUUGCCCACAGAUGAGCUCGGCGUCUGAUUAGCUAGUUGGUAAGGU
rnacentral:rRNA from 1 species